CAUUCAUUAGGCUUUGGUUGGAGUAGGGAGGCAAACUGCCUUAGUGGGAAUUUAAAUCAUGCCAACUCUCUCUCUCUCAGAUGAAGCUCUGAGUUCUAACAUGGACUGGUUGGUCUUUACUUUGUUCUGCUUAUUCUAAUGUUCCGGAGAAUAAUUGACAUUUUUCUAAUGCUAUCUAUCUCUGAAUCAGGUCAAAGCAUCCAAAAUCUGUGUUGAUUAUGGACGAGGUUGAUGGUAUGUCUGCUAGUAUUAAGAUUUUCAAAACUCCUAUCAUUUGUAUCUGUAAUGACCGCUAUAGUUAGAAGCUAAAAAGUCUUGUUAACUACUAUUUGCUUCUCAACUUCAGGAAACCUACGAAACAACAGGUUCUUUGUUUGCUUGAUGUUGAUGCAGAAUAGCCUGUGAAGACUUUUCUAACCUCACUUUCAUCUUUUUCUACCUUUUUAGGCUUGCUUCUUAAAGGAGUCACCGAAGCAGUAGAAGAAGCAGAAGCAGCAGGUACUGUAUGUUUAUACAAUUUUCUCCAAGAAGAUAGUCAUGCAUGUGAUUUAGCAGUGGUAAGAACUUUUCUUUGGCUUACUUCACCAAUUUGCUACUGAGCCAUUGAAUUGCCUAUGGAUGCGUUGGUAACUUCGAAAUCUUUUGCCAAAGAAGAAGAAAAAGAAGGAGACAAGUUUUAUUCUUUUGUCAGAGAAGAAGAAGGUGACAAGUUUUAUUCUUUUGCCAAAGAAGAAGGUGACAAGUUUUAUUAUUUAUGGGUUUUGACCCGUCCACUUUCAUGCCUGAUUAAAGUUCUCCUCUGCCCUUUGAUUUUAUAGAUGCGGAUUGGCUUGUUACCCGAGGUUGUAUCGUGGUGAUCCAAUGCUAAAUCCUCUUACACCUUGGGAUAGACCUCCAUUGAAAAACAUUUUCUGUAUAUAUGGGAUAGAUAUGAAGACUGAGUUUGUGAGUGUUUAACUCCUGAUACUGUAAAUAAUAAGUAUCAUGGAUGUGAAGACUGGUGGAGGCAAGUUUUUUCAGCACAAGGCUUAUUGUGAAAAGCAUAGCUUGGAUCAGAAAAAGAAGGCUGAGAGUCUGCAACAUGGACCUGAUGAGGUCCGCCGCAUUAAGCAAAUCCGGGUCAUUGAGAAUGUACUAUAAUCCACAUCUUGUCUGUUUUCUCAUUCAUUAUUGGAUCCUCCUUUUGGGUUUCCUUUCCAGCACUUCCAACUCUCAAUUCUACUCCCUUUCCUUUCCCUA